GACGAACGCUGGCGGCGUGCUUAACACAUGCAAGUCGAGCGGUAAGGCUCCUUCGGGAGUACACGAGCGGCGAACGGGUGAGUAACACGUGAGCAACCUGCCCUUCUCAUCGGAAUAAGCGUUGGAAACGACGUCUAAUGCCGAAUAUGACAACGGAUCGCGUGAUCUGUUGUGGAAAGCUCCGGCGGAGAAGGAUGGGCUCGCGGCCUAUCAGCUUGUUGGUGGGGUAACGGCCCACCAAGGCGACGACGGGUAGCCGGCCUGAGAGGGUGACCGGCCACACUGGGACUGAGACACGGCCCAGACUCCUACGGGAGGCAGCAGUGGGGAAUAUUGGACAAUGGGCGCAAGCCUGAUCCAGCAACGCCGCGUGAGGGAUGACGGCCUUCGGGUUGUAAACCUCUUUCAGCAGGGACGAAGCGAAAGUGACGGUACCUGCAGAAGAAGGACCGGCCAACCACGUGCCAGCCGCCGCAGUAAUAC
rnacentral:rRNA from 1 species